GACGAACGCUGGCGGCGUGCUUAACACAUGCCAGUCGAACGGAAAGGCCCUGCUUUUGUGGGGUGCUCGAGUGGCGAACGGGUGAGUAACACGUGAGUAACCUGCCCUUGACUUUGGGAUAACUUCAGGAAACUGGGGCUAAUACCGGAUAGGAGCUCCUGCUGCAUGGUGGGGGUUGGAAAGUUUCGGCGGUUGGGGAUGGACUCGCGGCUUAUCAGCUUGUUGGUGGGGUAGUGGCUUACCAAGGCUUUGACGGGUAGCCGGCCUGAGAGGGUGACCGGCCACCUUGGGACUGAGAUAUGGCCCAGACUCCUACGGGAGGCAGCAGUGGGGAAUAUUGCACAAUGGGCGGAAGCCUGAUGCAGCAACGCCGCGUGCGGGAUGACGGCCUUCGGGUUGUAAACCGCUUUCGCCUGUGACGAAGCGUGAGUGACGGUAAUGGGUAAAGAAGCACCGGCUAACUACGUG
rnacentral:rRNA from 1 species